rnacentral:rRNA from 1 species
UAGGUAGGCAUGAGGCGUAGGCAAAUCCGCGCUUCUUUAUGCCGAGCACCGAGACGAGUCCUUUUAGGACGAAGUCACUGAUCCCACGCUUCCAGGAAAAGCCUCUAAGCUUCAGCUGCGAUAGAACCGUACCGCAAUCCGACACAGGUAGGCAGGGUGAGAAUCCCAAGGCGCUUGAGAGAACUCGGGUGAAGGAACUAGGCAACAUAGCACCGUAACUUCGGGAGAAGGUGCGCCUGAGAGUGUGGCUACAUGCGUAGCUGAGCAUUCCCAGGCCGCAGUGACCAGGCCGCUGCGACUGUUUAUCAAAAACACAGCACUCUGCAAACACGAAAGUGGACGUAUAGGGUGUGACACCUGCCCGGUGCCGGAAGGUUAAUUGGUGGGGUCAGCCGCAAGGCGAAGCUCUUAAUCGAAGCCCCGGUAAACGGCGGCCGUAACAAUAACGGUCCUAAGGUAGCGAAAUUCCUUGUCGGGUAAGUUCCGACCUGCACGGAUGGUGUAACGACAGCGGCGCUGUCUCCACCCGAGACUCAGUGAAAUUGAAAUCGCUGUGAAGAUGCAGCGUUCCCGCGGCAAGACGGAAAGACCCCGUGAACCUUUACUAUAGCUUUACAUUGAACGUUGAGUUCGUCUGUGUAGGAUAGGUGGGAGGCAUUGAAGUGUGGUCGCCAGAUCGCAUGGAGCCAACCUCGAAAUACCACCCUGAUGUGCUUGACGUUCUAACCUGGGUCCGUAAUCCGGAUCGGGGACCAUGUAUGGUGGGUAGUUUGACUGGGGCGGUCUCCUCCCAAAGAGUAACGGAGGAGCUCGAAGGUACGCUCAGCGCGGUCGGACAUCGCGCACUGUGUGCAAAGGCAUAAGCGUGCUUGACUGCGAGAUCGACGGAUCAAGCAGGUACGAAAGUAGGACUUAGUGAUCCGGUGGUUCUGUAUGGAAGGGCCAUCGCUCAACGGAUAAAAGGUACUCCGGGGAUAACAGGCUGAUUCCGCCCAAGAGUUCAUAUCGACGGCGGAGUUUGGCACCUCGAUGUCGGCUCAUCACAUCCUGGGGCUGUAGCCGGUCCCAAGGGUAUGGCUGUUCGCCAUUUAAAGUGGUACGCGAGCUGGGUUCAGAACGUCGUGAGACAGUUCGGUCCCUAUCUGUCGUGGGCGUUGGAGGUUUGAGAGGGGCUGCUCCUAGUACGAGAGGACCGGAGUGGACGAAUCCCUGGUGUUCCGGUUGUCACGCCAGUGGCACUGCCGGGUAGCUACAUUCGGAAGCGAUAACCGCUGAAAGCAUCUAAGUGGGAAGCGCGCCUCAAGAUGAGACCUCCCGAGCCAUAAGGCUCCUAAGGAA